rnacentral:rRNA from 1 species
UUAUGGCUCAGGAUGAACGCUAGCGGCAGGCCUAAUACAUGCAAGUCGAACGGGAUUGCCUCCUCGGGAGGCAUGAGAGUGGCGCACGGGUGCGCAACGCGUAUGCAACCAACCCCCGACAGGCGGAUAGCCGGUGGAAACGCCGGAUAAUACGCCAUGGUUCCGUGGGAGGGCAUCCUCCUGGGGAUAAAGCCGAGAGGCGGUCGGGGACGGGCAUGCGUCCCAUUAGAUGGUAGGCGGGGUGACGGCCCACCUAGUCCGCGAUGGGUAGGGGAUCUGAGAGGACGGUCCCCCACACUGGUACUGAGACACGGACCAGACUCCUGCGGGAGGCAGCAGUAAGGGAUAUUGGUCAAUGGGGGCAACCCUGAACCAGCCAUGCCGCGUGAGGGAAUGAGGCCCUACGGGUCGUGAACCUCUUUUAUUCGGGGACAAGGACGCGGUCGCGAACCGUGUUUGAGGGUACCGAAGGAAUAAGCAUCGGCUAACUCCGUGCCAGCAGCUGC